AGCAGCCGCCGCGGUAAUACGUAGGUGGCAAGCGUUGUCCGGAAUUAUUGGGCGUAAAGCGCGCGCAGGUGGUUUAAUAAGUCUGAUGUGAAAGCCCACGGCUCAACCGUGGAGGGUCAUUGGAAACUGUUAAACUUGAGUGCAGGAGAGAAAAGUGGAAUUCCUAGUGUAGCGGUGAAAUGCGUAGAGAUUAGGAGGAACACCAGUGGCGAAGGCGGCUUUUUGGCCUGUAACUGACACUGAGGCGCGAAAGCGUGGGGAGCAAACAGGAUUAGAUACCCGGGUAGUCCCUGUCUCUUAUAC
rnacentral:rRNA from 1 species